UACGUAGGGACCAAGCGUUGUUCGGAUUUACUGGGCGUAAAGGGCGCGUAGGCGGCAAUUCAAGUCAUCUGUGAAAUCUCCGGGCUUAACCCCGGAACGGUCAGAUGAUACUGCUUUGCUAGAGUGCGGAAGGGGCAAUCGGAAUUCUUGGUGUAGCGGUGAAAUGCGUAGAUAUCAAGAGGAACACCUGAGGUGAAGACGGGUUGCUGGGCCGACACUGACGCUGACAGCGCGAAAGCCAGGGGAGCAAACGGG
rnacentral:rRNA from 1 species